rnacentral:rRNA from 1 species
GACGAACGCUGGCGGCGUGCUUAACACAUGCAAGUCGAACGGUGACGAGGAGCUUGCUCCUCUGAUCAGUGGCGAACGGGUGAGUAACACGUGAGCAACCUGCCCCAGACUCUGGGAUAACAGUUGGAAACAGCUGCUAAUACCGGAUACGAGACGGAGAGGCAUCUCUACCGUCUGGAAAGUUUUUCGGUCUGGGAUGGACUCGCGGCCUAUCAGCUAGUUGGUGAGGUAAUGGCUCACCAAGGCGACGACGGGUAGCCGGCCUGAGAGGGCGACCGGCCACACUGGGACUGAGACACGGCCCAGACUCCUACGGGAGGCAGCAGUGGGGAAUAUUGCACAAUGGGCGAAAGCCUGAUGCAGCGACGCCGCGUGAGGGAUGAAGGCCUCGGGUUGUAAACCGUCUUCUA